rnacentral:rRNA from 1 species
CCUACGGGUGGCAGCAGUGAGGAAUAUUGGUCAAUGGCCGAGAGGCUGAACCAGCCAAGUCGCGUGAGGGAAGAAUGUCCUAUGGAUUGUAAACCUCUUUUGUCAGGGAGCAAAGUCACCCACGUGUGGGUGUUGGAGAGUACCUGAAGAAAAAGCAUCGGCUAACUCCGUGCCAGCAGCCGCGGUAAUACGGAGGAUGCGAGCGUUAUCCGGAUUUAUUGGGUUUAAAGGGUGCGUAGGCGGGUUAUCAAGUCAGCGGUAAAAUCGUGGAGCUCAACUCCAUCCAGCCGUUGAAACUGAUGAUCUUGAGUGGGCGAGAGGUAUGCGGAAUGCGUGGGGUAGCGGUGAAAUGCAUAGAUAUGACGAAGAACCCCGAUUGCGAAGGCAGCUUGCUGCAGCGGAACUGACGCUGAUGCUCGAAAGCGCGGGUAUCGAACAGGAUUAGAUACCCUGGUAGUC